rnacentral:lncRNA from 1 species
UUCGUUUUGAUGUUGAUAUAUGUCCUAGUUAACCGUUGAAGCUGUUGCAUUUUGUUUGCAUGUUUAUUCUUUUAGUGCGAUUUACUCUAUUUAAGUUGGAAAAAAAUAUUCCCGACAUCCGGAAAUUCGAAAAAAGACUUCUCGGAUCCCGAAACCUGAUCAUCAUACUGCAUUCAUUCAGUCUCUGUCGGGACGGUGUUAAAGUAUCACCGUAUAGAAAUUUUCAUUCAAACGAUGUAUUCUUAUAAUAUUUAUUUUCUAAUCCAUAUGAUAGGUAUAUUGUACUUAGUAUAUAUAU